UUCCUCCCCUUCUCAUGUGGUCUUCAUUUACCAUGGUCUACUAUUCCUUGUUCUCCCUCUCUUUUCUUGAUCCAGCUAGGAUCUCCCACUCUCUUUCCCUCGACCGUUGCUCUUCAUUGUUCUAAAAGGGUAUAUCUUUUUUCCAUCAUCUUUAUAGUUCAUUAAAAAUACACAUUUAUAUAGUAAGAAAUAAACAUCCUUUAAGAAAUUUUAAGCAUAUACAACAUUUUUCAAUGUCACAAAGUCUAUUUUGAUGCAUAAAGUCUAUUUGUAGUAUAAAGGAGUCUUUAGUUUACCAAGGACUUAACAUUGAACUAACUUGUUGUUCUUGUGAUUAACCAAGUUUUUCCAGUCUAAAGAGGAGUUAAGACACGUUUGUCUUUUUACGAUUUUUAAAGAAUUGUUAAAAUCAAAACUAAGCCUAUAAAUACGGAGUUCUUUGAUGAUGUUAGGCACCGCCUCACAAUAGGACCACAGUGUGGAUCAACAUUCUUUGAUCAGAAGGUUGAAGUGCUGGCUUUCAUUAGCACACAAUCAGAAAUUAUCAAACGUUCGGCCUUCUGAAGUCUUAUGAAGAAGUCUUAGUAAAUUGAAUAAAAAGUAGCAAAUUUUAUUUCUCCUGAUAAUAAAUGAAGUUAUACAUCUUCUCCACUUACACAAACUCCACUAUCAUCUAGCUAACAGAAUGUGAAAAGCAAGAGUAUUUUGCCAAAGUCUACAGUAACUUUGGUGUAGGCUGGAAGAAUAAACACAUAGUCAAUCGUAGCCUUUCUUUGAUGAUAAAAUAAAAAGAAAGAAAGAAAGCCAAAGGAUAUACAGAAAGAGUAUCACCCACCAAAUAAAUCCAACAAAGUGUUUAUAGGUUUGUCAUCAAACUAAGUAGUCCCGCCUUCUUCUUCUAAGAUGAACACUGGCUAGUUGUCCACCCUCUGGAGACUGUGGCCUCUCCACUAAAGAGACAUAUGACCAGAGAGGUGCCAUCCUCCUCUGGGUCACGUUUUUCCCUUGGAGGGCAAAGACCAAACUGUAGGCUGUCCCUUUGGACUCUCUUAUCCUCAUUGGUGUAGGCCUCUAAGCAUUGGUUGUUGAGCACACAGAAGGACAGAUUUACCAAUCUUGUGAUGAAACUUUUGUGUAACAUUUAAGUAAAUAGGUGUUUUUAAAAGCCAAAAAGAAAAAGCCAGUUUAAAUAAAUGAUUUUGUUAUGACUCAAUUUCCCCAAGUUGUGAAAGACUAACAAAGUUAACAAAAGCUCAAGGUAGACACAGUCUUUGUUUUUUUUUUAAGCCAGUUCUUUCCGAUGUCAUCAAGAGUGGAUCACUAUAAGCUGAGGAAUGGUAAUCAUCAGACAUACAUCAUCCUUAAGUCCCAUUUUCCAUAAAUCUGUGUCAGAACUUCUGUGGUUUGACUUUUAAGCUUUCUUCACUCUCUUCUCAACUUUCAUUCUUAUUUGUAGGACAAAAAAUCUUAUUUUAUCACACAGAAUCAAAUUUUGCCCCCUGCCGUGCCCUCCAUCAGUGCUGGUUGGCUUGGCCUUCUUCCUGAAGGUUGCCUUCUUCCUUUGCCUGAUAACAACUACUUUUUUGUACCACCCCAAGCAGGGGCUUCUCCAGCAGCUAAUUAUUAGACAAAGAUGUCAAUAUCUUUGCAAUCCUAUUUUCACGGAUGGGACGGGAUCAAGUGGGGAGACACCCGAGGAGCUGUCAUUGUGCCACAGACCCUCCUUUCCCGCUGAGUCACGUCGUGCCUCUGAGCUCUUCCGGUGGCUCUCCCACAGCCUGUUGGGUGAAGUGAUGAAGAGAUGUUCUUACUCUAAGCUAAAGCUGUGAGGCUGCUUCUGUCUUCCUCAGAGACUCAAAGAAAGCCCCAAAGGAGCUAAGUUCCCCAUCCCUUGCCACCUGAGGACCACUAGGUCAAAGUGGGGAACUACUGUCUCAUGAGGAAGAAUUUGCACAAAAUCCUGCAGAGCUGGCCAGUCACUGGGAGAGUGUCCUCAGACUUCUCCUCUUGUCCCUUGGAUGACUGAGCGGGCACAGAAGUGACUUCGCUAAGCUGUCAGUGUCCCCAAGGGCCCUCCCUCGGUUCCUCUUGAGGACGCGUCAUUCAGGGAGAAGAACCUAUUCCGUGUGUUCAGGCAUCAUCGGAGCGCGUUCUUUCUGAGCCGAACUUUCAACAGCGGCAGAAUGGAAAUGCUGACCUGGCAUCCAUCCAUCCAUCCCCUGGGCCCCACCUCCUGCCAGCCCUCAUCUCCCUUGGUAUUUGGAUGGUGGAAGUGUCAGGCUGAGGAGUCCGAUGCUCUCUGAUAAGCACAUUCCAGAUGUCGCUGGGGCACCGCCAAAGGUGUGGCCCAGCCAACCCUCACCAGAGCUUCGGAGAAACAGCCUGCUCCAAUCUGUGGUCAAGUUUAUUGGGAGGAACCCCUCCUACCUGGUUGCUCUGGAGAAUUCCAAGCCAUGGCUUGCUCUCUCUGUCCUCUACAAGUAGGUCACUGGCUUGGCGGGACAAUGUACUUGGGACCUCCGGAAUGUUGAAGGUGGGGUAGCAUCUCAGACGUGCUCUGAAAGAAGGAACCCCUUCCUUUCCGUAGAAAGAAUCGGGGUCUCACAAAGGAUAGGGGCUUGUCCAAGGUCACACCCAGUGUUCAAGGUGAGUUUUCUGUCCUUCGGCUGGUAAUCUUUUCUUUGACUCUACAGCAGUAAUCUGAACAAUCAUUUCACGUGACAGAGGAUGUGACAAAGAAGCCAGACAGGGGAAGAGGGAGGAAGAGAGGAGAAAGAAGCAGCCCCGCUGGCUGUGACCACAACACCCAGCCCUCUGUGACUGAGCUGUGGAAUGCACUUGUCACCCUGGAGGGUCUGUCCCCGAGAACACUAGCCUCGCGGGGCAGCAGACCUGACAUUUUUUUUUAACCCAGCACAGAGCUUCCUCUCUCUCGGAUGCAGAGUCACAGAGAAGAAACGCAGAGCCUCUCUAUGGUUUAGGUCAGAAGAGUUUGUUCCACCAGAUUUGAGUUUGAGGGAUUAUCUUGGGUUUUUUGUUUGUUUGUUUGUUUGUUUGUUUGUUUUACUGGUUUGUUUUGUUUCCUUUUGAGGGUGAGGUCCUUGGAAAGAUCCAGGAAAGCGCAAACAAAACAACCACCAGCCACCACUGGACAAAAUUCCUAACUGGAUGGGGGCAGGAGCAUGCGCAUGAACAGAACAAAUGCUGUUUCCCGAAUCACCCUGAGGAGCCGCAGUCAUGGGGAAGCCUUCCAUCCUAAACAGCCGAGAUUGUACUGUCACCUCCAACAACCAGACUCCAGAAGCUACCCAGGCCCCCGACUGUGAGGAAACACCAUUUUGAAACAAAACCUUGCAGUGUGAAAAGAGGCGUGCUUUUCAGAGAUUCCCGCAACGUUCUAAACUACAAAAAAGGCAAGGCAGGUCUGCCCACCACCACCACCACCCCACUCCACCCCCACCCACCCCACCCCCAAAUCCUCCCUCUCUCCCUAGCCCUGACCACAGCAUGUUCCUCUUCUCUCCAAUGGACUCCUCUAAAGGCUUAAGGACCAGCCCAGGUGCUACCAGGAAGACUGACAUGCAGUCAGCCUCAACAAGAAUUUGUUUUAUAAACAGAGGCAAGAAAGAAAUCCCACCAGUGUGAAAACCUAAGCUGACGAAUUAUCCCAGGCAGUGCUUUCCACGGUGUUAGGGAAAAUAAAUACCUGAUCAAAAAUGAAAACGGAUGCCAGCGAUUAUAAGGACCACAAUGCAACUGACAAAUGUCACGUGCCUCCUGUGUGCUGGGCACUGUGCCAAGUGUUCCAGCCUGGCUACCUCAUCAAACCUUCUGCUCUAACUCUACACCCAUGGCUCCAUAUUACUGGUGAUGGAUGGCCUUCAGUAACCCAGGACCUCUGAUUCCAGAGCUGCAUGUAAACUUAUGUGCAUGCGGAAGCCACAGGUUUGACAUCGGGUGUCUCUGCCUCAGUCACUGUCCACCUUAUGUUGAUACAGGGUCUAUCACUGAACCCAGAGGUCACCAAUCUGAGUAGCCUAGCUUGCUCCAGGGAUCUGCUUGUCUCUGCCCCCUGAGUUCCAGGAUUACAGACAAGCUGCCACACCCACCCAGCAAUUAUGCAGGCACUGGCAAUCUCAACUUCAAAAGCAAGCACGCUAUCUCCUAAGCCAACUCCCUAGCCCACGGAUUGUGUUUCUUAAACCACUAUGUUCUACUGCCUGCCAAUAUAAGAAGUUCUUCAUAGUUCUUUAUUUAAUUAGGGCCCUAGGAAAAGGAGGCAUUCUGUGUUCGUGAAUCGGCCGAAAAAUGAACACAAUCGAAGCAUGUGCCAUUGAGAGAUAAAUGUGGGCUUUUACUCUAUUUCAGGGGCUUCUGUGAUUCUUCCUCCAGCAAACACAGGAUGUGGAGGUGAGGAAGAAGUAGAGAGUGGGCACCUAAGGCUGCAGUUACUAGCAAUGCUGCUUCCAGACAUUCUGCUGCAGAUCAGAAGUCACGGGGCCAACUGAAAGCUUAAUAUCACUCAGAUUACCAGAGCUAGAAGGAAUUGUCAAGAUCUUUGAGACACAAUCCAUUACUUCCUCCUCUGUCUCCUCAGCACUUUCUACAGAUAACAUAGUGUAUUAUAACUUAUAACUUAUUGUCAUACAUGUAAACAAAUAAGAUGCUUUAUCCACAGUUGCAUUAUUAAACCAUGACAUCUAGCAUGAAGCAGGUUCAGUGCAUGGGCUGGUUUGAAUGAAAAUGCCCCCCAUUGGCCUAUAGGGAAUGGCACUACUAGGAGAUGUGGCCUUGUUGGAGUAGGUGUGGCUUUGUUGGAGGAAGUGGGUCACUA